AUUGAUGGCUCAAUGGUAGAGCAUCUGUUUUGCAUGCAGAAGGUCCAAGGUUGAAUCUUCUGUUAAAAGUA
rnacentral:tRNA from 1 species